AUACGUAGGAUCCGAGCGUUGUCCGGAUUUACUGGGCGUAAAGGGUGCGUAGGCGGCGUGGUAAGUCUCAUGUGAAAUCUCCCGGCUCAACUGGGAGGGGUCAUGGGAUACUGCCAUGCUCGAGGGCAGUAGAGGAGAGCGGAAUUCCGGGAGUAGCGGUGAUAUGCGUAGAUACCCGGAGGAACACCCGUGGCGAAAGCGGCUCUCUAGGCUGUACCUGACGCUAAGGCACGAAAGCGUGGGGAGCAAACCGGAUUAGAUACCCCAGUAGUCC
rnacentral:rRNA from 1 species